rnacentral:rRNA from 1 species
CCUACGGGAGGCUGCAGUAGGGAAUAUUGGGCAAUGGGCGAAAGCCUGACCCAGCCAUGCCGCGUGAAGGAAGACGGCCUUAUGGGUUGUAAACUUCUUUACUAUACGAAUAGAGGUUAGUACGAGUUACUAAUAGGAAGGUAGUAUAGCAAAAAGCACCGGCUAACUCCGUGCCAGCAGCCGCGGUAAUACGGAGGGUGCAAGCGUUAUUCGGAAUUACUGGGUUUAAAGGGUGCGUAGGCGGUUAUAUAAGUUGUCAGUGAAAGGCUACGGCUCAACUGUAGUAGUGCUGGCGAUACUGUAUAACUAAGAACAUGGGAGGGGUACCUGGAAUGUGUGGUGUAGCGGUGAAAUGCAUAGAUAUCACACAGAACACCGGAGGCGAAGGCGGGGUACUAGACCAUAGUUGACGCUGAGGCACGAAAGCGUGGGGAGCAAACAGGAUUAGAUACCCCUGUAGUC